rnacentral:piRNA from 1 species
UUCUAAAAUAAAGUUAUCUUGGUCCUCC